AGGAUGAACGCUGGCGGCGUGCCUAACACAUGCAAGUCGAACGUCCUGUCUCGCAAGAGGCAGGGAGUGGCGGACGGGUGAGUACCACGUGGGUCAUCUACCGUGAGGUGAGGAAUACCGGCGAGAAAUCGCCGACAAGACCGCAUAGGCUCGAUGCAAGUCGAGCAAAGCUCUUUCGAGAGAGGGAGCGCCACACGAGGAGCCUGCGCCCGAUUAGCUAGCUGGUGGAGUAAUGGUUCACCAGGGCGACGAUCGGUAGCUGGUCUGAGAGGACGAUCAGCCACACUGGGAUUGAGAACGGCCCAGACUCCUACGGGGGGCAGCAGUGAGGAAUUUUCGUCAAUGGGGGCAACCCUGAACGAGCAACGCCGCGUGCAGGAAGAAGGUCUUCGGAUCGUAAACUGCUUUUCUGUGGGAAGAGAACGGACGGUACCACAGGAAGAAGCCCCGGCUAACUACGUGCCAGCAGCCGC
rnacentral:rRNA from 1 species